UACGGAGGGUGCAAGCGUUAUCCGGAUUCACUGGGCUUAAAGGGUGCGUAGGUGGGUCUGUAAGUCCGUGGUGAAAUCUCCGAGCUUAACUUGGAAACUGCCAUGGAUACUAUAGGUCUUGAAUACUGUGGAGGUCAGCGGAAUAUGUCAUGUAGCGGUGAAAUGCUUAGAUAUGACAUAGAACACCAAUUGCGAAGGCAGCUGGCUACAGGAACAUUGACACUGAGGCACGAAAGCGUGGGGAGCAAACAGG
rnacentral:rRNA from 1 species